UACAGAGGGUGCAAGCGUUGUUCGGAAUUAUUGGGCGUAAAGCGCGUGUAGGCGGCUUUGCAAGUCGGGUGUGAAAGCCCUCAGUUCAACUGAGGAAGUGCGCCCGAAACUGCAGAGCUUGAGUGCCGGAGAGGGUGGCGGAAUUCCCCAAGUAGAGGUGAAAUUCGUAGAUAUGGGGAGGAACACCGGUGGCGAAGGCGGCCACCUGGACGGUAACUGACGCUGAGACGCGAAAGCGUGGGUAGCAAACAGG
rnacentral:rRNA from 1 species